AAGAGACCCACUGCGGAAGAAACUUGUAUCACCAAUAAAAUGUGCAUCUGACUUUUGGACAGGGAUAGAUUCCUCAGCUCAGCUUCUACUUUGCUAUGAGUAUCUCGAAAAGCAAAUCGUCCUACAGAUUGUAAAAGGUUGCUAAUCAGUGAAAUACGUUACAGGGAAUUUUCACAUUGAUUAUGAAUGGAAAUUAUUUUGUGUCUGAGAGAAUAUGUACAAUUUUACCUUGUCUGAUAAGGUGAAUUAUAAAAUGUUUUACAUAAGAAAUAAACCAAUUUCAUUAUAAGUAACAUUUUAAACCAUUCUUAGUACUUACUAAUUUGUGUUCUUCUUACAGGAUAUAAGUAUCCAGUAUAUGGUGUCCAGUGGCAUCCAGAGAAAGCACCUUAUGAGUGGAAGAAUUUGGAUGGCAUUUCCCAUGCACCUAAUGCUGUGAAAACCGCAUUUUAUUUAGCAGAGUUUUUUGUUAAUGAAGCUCGGAAAAACAACCAUCAUUUUAA
rnacentral:lncRNA from 1 species